rnacentral:rRNA from 1 species
CCUGCCCAGUGACAUUCUGUUCAACGGCCGCGGUAUCCUGACCGUGCAAAGGUAGCAUAAUCAUUUGCCUUUUAAUUGGAGGCUAGUAUGAAUGGGUAGACGUAGAUUCAACUGUUUCUUUAUUAUAAAUAAAACUUAAACUUUAGGUGAAGAUGCCUAAAUACUAUAGAAAGACAAGAAGACCCUAUAGAGUUUUCUUUGGUUGGGGCGACCUAGGAUUUUUAUAAACAUCCUUUUAUUUAGAUCCAUAAAUCUCUAUUAUAGACCUUAAACGGAUUAUUAGAAAUAACUACCUUAGGGAUAACAGGCUUAUCUUCCUAGAGAGCUCUUAUUGAUAGGAUGGUUUGGCACCUCGAUGUUGGCUUAGAGUAACUGAAUACCGCAGCAGGUAUUAAAAGUCAGUUUGUUCAACUGUUAAUUCUCU